UACAGAGGGUGCGAGCGUUGUCCGGAAUCACUGGGCGUAAAGGGCGCGUAGGCGGCUCGGUCAGCGUGCGGUGAAAGCCCGGGGCUCAACCCCGGGUCGGCCGUGCGAACUGCUGGGCUGGAGCACUGUAGAGGCAGGUGGAAUUCCGGGUGUAGCGGUGGAAUGCGUAGAGAUCCGGAAGAACACCGGUGGCGAAGGCGGUUCUCUGGGCCUGACCUGACGCUGAGGAGCGAAAGCGUGGGGAGCGAACAGG
rnacentral:rRNA from 1 species